rnacentral:lncRNA from 1 species
UUGCAUAUUCCCAUACGGCAGCUGCUGCAUUUGUUCUCCUCCUUCCAUCCCCUCUCACGAGGUAAUCGUACGAGAUAAAAAAAGGGAAAUUCUGCAGUCUAGAUGAGGAUCCUUAUUAUUUAUUUACCGUAUCAUCAACUUUGAUCGGCAGAGAAAAGGCUCACUAUCUUGCUCAUCAUCUCUUGCAAUUGCACAAGAAACAAUAAAGCUGAACCCUAUCAUCAACUUUGAUCAGCAGAGAAAAAACUCUAUCUUGCUCCUCGUCUCUUGCAAUUGCACAAGAAACAAUAAAGCUGAACACGUUGUUCCAUAACACCAGUCAUCUUCUCGAGCAGCAGUCCUGGAAGUAUACGGAUGAUAUGUACUGGUGUUACGACGGUGAAUACGAAAAAGAGAUACUAAUCUUAGUUGGUUUUGUUUACGGUGAAUACGGAUGGUGUACCGUGUUUGUCUAUAAAGGGUUGGUCUCUUCGAAAAGUUUUAUGAUCUGCAAAAGAAAGAGAAGAUAUGUUAGAAAAAAUGUUUAAUUUGAGAUCCUACAAAUAGUUAUGUUAGCAAGCAGAUAAUGUAAAUUACAAACAUAGAUUUUGUAAGUUCUGAAUUCCUACAUAGUUGCAUGACAAAGGUCUAAAGUGAUUCGCCAUGAUCAAAAUUCCUCAUAAGUGUCCAUAUAAUAUUGUUGCGGAACAAGGUCUCGAACCAAUCCUAUAUACUAUCCUAUAGGCCCAUCUAGUCAUGUGCUACUAUGGUCGCUCUUGGGUACUAUGCUGAACAUUUCAUACUACUCUAUGGAGCUAAAAACCCCUAAAAUAAUUGCGUGAAUGGUUUGUUUCUAAGCAGUUUUACUUUUGUGCGAUGAUGCACAUAAUUUGUGUUUACAAGCCUGAAAUGACUAUAAAAAUUAAUCAAAAUGGGGCCAUCAAAUCUACUACAAGCCUUCUAUAUUUUGUGCAAAGCUUAAAUAAAAUCGUAAGACAUGAUCAUACAUAAGUAUUACAUCAAACAUACUAUUUAUAACUUUGUCCAUGACAUCAAACACUCUCGUUAUAAUCUUUGUGGAUGCUGCAUCUUCUUGCUUUUGCUGAAUCUUCAAUCUUCUACUCCAAUUGCAAUAUGCCUCUUGACUCUCAACUGCUUUUCGUCAUUAUCGUUUAGUCGAACUUUAAUCCAUCACAUUGCUUCAACUUGCUAAUGACUCUGGUGUGAGGUCAGUCGAAUUGUGCUUAUUUUUAUUGGUUCAUUCAAAUCCCUUAGAUGAAGGAAAAUAUCUUUGUUGUUGUGUACCAAUCUCUCAAAUGUCUCACAUUGCUUAAACUGGUUGGAUGUCUAUUAGAGUUUUGAUGAGCAUCGCCUCACCGACUUUGAAGUUAUUAAAGUAUUUUCUACAUAAAAUUUGCUUAUUGAUUUUACUUUUAAUUAUUUAUCGUCUUUAAGUAGGUUCGCAUCAUAUUCGCUUUCAAUUGUCAUUCUAUUAGGAAAUGAAGCAAUAGGAUGUUCUUGGUAGAACCGAUUAUCAUUGGCGAGGAUUAAACAAUUAUUGUUUUCCACUAGGUUUCUUCAAAAGAUCUUUGAACAUGUGCAACGCUCCUCUACUAGAUAAAUAAGAGAAUUGAGAUAUUCGAUUUCGCUCAUUCUUUUAAGAGUUAAGAAGACAAAUGUUACUAACUUUACCCACCUUCUUAAUGGUUAUAUACCAUGCAUUGAAUUGGUUACUAGCCUUCACCCGUUCUUUACUGACACUUUCAAAACACCCAAAGUGUUUGCACUCCUUGAGUUAGCUAAUGUGAUUUACCUCAUUAUCAUCAAACUUCUGAAAUGCAAAAAAAUUUACUUGAAGAGUAAAAUUUUACCUCAAUUUAGAGGAAGUAUCAACUAAUUUUGAUCACUUUUGGGAUUAUAUCGUCUUCUCCAUCAUUUCUGUCAGCUACUCCUUUGAGUAAAAAAUGUAUAACACUGUAUACUGCUUAUUUCGUUCCUUGGUCAAGUACUCUUGCAUCGACUCGAAAUCCCUCACUUUCAAUUAUUUUGAUGAGAAACUUGUUAACACCAGUCUUAUAAAGUUUUUUGGCCAUUACCCUUUGGUCUUGUUUUGAUACUUAAAGUUUGCCUCUACAUGCUCCAUCUCCUCGGCACUUUUUACGAUCUAACGCUCUCCGUUCAUAAAAGCAAGGGAUCGAUAACUCCAUAAAAGUUUUACCUCUACAGUACCAUAAUGUUGUCAUGCCCAUUACCCUACUAUCUGUUGCCUCAUAUAUGCAUCCUUUUCUUCAUGAUCAAUAGUUCUACCUUUGCGACACUAUGAGACUCAUAUGAGUCCAUCUCUAUUCUAACCGACGCUUGCUUUUGGGUAGCCUAGUCCCUCUAGACUCAUCGUCGCUUCUUCGCCUCUUUCGACAAUUUAUUUUAACACCUCUAUAUUCUCCGAACAAUUUUCCUUGGUCAAUGAAAAGAAAAACUACAACUUUAAUGCAUAGUCUCUGCCAUCAUGUUGCAGGGCUCAAGCCGAUUCUAUUUUCCUUUGCUUCCUCGAUAGUAAUAUUCGCUUACUCGAUCUUGUCAUAUAACUUAUUGAGCUCACUUAAGCGAAUAUGAGUUUUGAAAUAAUCCAAACUCUCCAACCGCUUCGAUAAUAUCUCUGUAUGAUCAAGUUCUCAUCCCGAGAGUUAUUGGCACUUGCACUUAGAAUUCUCCUUCGGUGGUACAUAACUCUCUAUAUGCUGAUAACAAAGACUUUCAUCCGAUGUAAAAUUUGAUAUGCCUAAGGAAGACCCUAGAUACUACCAUAAAGGCCUAUUCAACUUUAUGGAGUUAGAUCCCUCCCAAAAUAAUAGUUUGAAUGACUUGUUUCUAUGUAGUUUUGCAUAUGCACGAUAACUAUAUGCAUAACUAUACAUAACCUACAUUUAUAAAUCUGAAACAACCAUAAAAGUUAAUCAAAAUAAAAUUAUAAAAUCUAUUGUAAGCCUUUUACAUGUUUGAUCAGAGACAAUACAGUAGUCGGCAAAGGGAACAACGAAACAAUGACACGAAAUGAAAAAGCACAAAUCAAACAUGGCAAAAAAAGGCAACAAGAAAAGAAUGAACGAGGAAGGACACAUUUCAAAGCCUCUUUCUUCCAUCUCCUUCGCAUGCGCUAUGUGUAUGGUGGCCCUUUAUGGACUCCCCACGUCUCACAGAAAGCCCACCUAAAUUCCACCAAAUUGUUCUCUGUCCAUAUUUACAGCAAGUGCGCAACUUGAGCGCCCCACCAAGAAUUAGGACAUGUCCCUACCGUGAGGAAGAAGAGAUUCUACUCGAAAUGCCAUUGCAUUGAAUCGAAAACGUAGAUCGGACUCCGAUCAAGAAUAUAAUAACCCGGAAAAGACGCAAAAUCAAAGAAGCUAUUUGGUUCAUCAGCGAUUGCAAUCAACGGAUCGGAAGAACGGACGCAAAGAGCAUAGGGUUUCAGUACUGUGAGACCAUUACGUACCCACAUCGGCAUCAACUGCGUUCGUCUGAUGCCCGAUGAUCUCUGAAAUCUACCAAAAACACAUCUUACCCUUCCCCUGCAAGCCUCAGUCGAGAGACGAGGUUAGGCUACUUCUGAGUUGUAGAGUGACCCAAGAGGUAGGGAUCCAUGGCGGCGAGACUCUGAAACCGUAACCCUAGAGAACACCGCGUGUGCUUGUGGUAUAUAGGGACGGUGGGGGCAUCUUUUUGCAUAUUAGUCCUUACGAAGUUUAAAUUUAGCGCAUUUGUCCUUGAAGUAUAAUAACGGUGGCCCAGCCUAUAUAUAUAUAUAUAUAUAUAUAUAUAUAUAUAUAUAUAUAUAUAUAUAUUCUCUCUCUCUCUCUCUCUUAAGUUUAUAGCUUCCGUUGCCUUCUCUUCCUUAACGCGACUGUAAUCGUAUUUUAGGGUUUCUGAUGGGAUCCGAAGGUAGACGGAAGGUGCCGACCGACUCCAUCCCUUUAUGUCCCUAUGCCUAUUCCGUGAUUUGGGA